rnacentral:rRNA from 1 species
UUAAAUGGCUGCAGUAAUUUGACUGUACAAAGGUAGCAUAAUCAUUAGUUUUUUAAUUAAAAGCUUGAAUGAAAGGUUGGACGAAGUAAAAUCUGUCUCUUUAUAAUAUAAUUAGAAUUUAAUUUUUAAGUUAAAAAGCUUAAAUUUUUAUAAAAGACGAGAAGACCCUAUAGAGUUUAAUAAUUUUUAUAAAAUCAUUAAUUUAGAUUUAUUAUUUUUAUUUUUUAAUAAUUAUUUUAUUGGGGUAAUAUUAAGAUUUAAAUAAUUCUUUUUUUUUAUAUCAUUUAUUUAUGAAAUAUUUUUGAUCCAUUAUUUUUAUGAUUAUAAG